rnacentral:lncRNA from 1 species
AAGAGAGCAGCUGCGUGAAGGCAAUUUGGGCAGAUUGACAGUCUGGAGUUGUCUGGAACGGAACCAGCAAUAUCUCCAAGCGCCAUCUGUCAUCCAAUCAUGGGGGAUGGGAGCACGGUAAAAUUAAAUUGCUGAGAACCCAGGCUCCCAGCAGCAGUGGAAGAUGAUGGUUACCAUGAGGAGAAAGAUCCGAUUCCUGGAAAGAGCAGAGCUCAAGGAACCACUGCUGAUGGACUUCAAUGAAAAGAGGGUUAAAAUACCUUUUAAAUUACAGAAUUAAUAGAAAAUAAUUGCAAAUAUUAAAAAAUAGAAGCUUGCAAGAUAA